rnacentral:rRNA from 1 species
UACGUAGGGGGCGAGCGUUGUCCGGAUUUAUUGGGCGUAAAGAGCUCGUAGGCGGUUCGGUAAGUCAGAUGUAAAAACUCCAGGCUCAACUUGGAGAGGCCAUCUGAUACUGCCGUGACUAGAGUCCGGUAGAGGAGCACGGAAUUCCUAGUGUAGCGGUGAAAUGCGCAGAUAUCAGGAGGAACACCAGCGGCGAAGGCGGUGCUCUGGGCCGGAACUGACGCUGAGGAGCGAAAGCGUGGGGAGCGAACAGG